rnacentral:misc_RNA from 1 species
UACGUAGGUGGCAAGCGUUGUUCGGAAUCACUGGGCGUAAAGGGAGCGUAGGCGGCGUGGUAAGUCAGAUGUGAAAUCCCGGGGCUCAACCCCGGAACUGCAUCCGAUACUGCCGUGCUAGAGGAUUGGAGAGGUAGCUGGAAUUCUCGGUGUAGCAGUGAAAUGCGUAGAGAUCGAGAGGAACACUCGUGGCGAAGGCGAGCUACUGGACAAUAUCUGACGCUGAGGCUCGAAGGCCAGGGUAGCGAAAGGG